UUUCCGUAGGUGAACCUGCGGAAGGAUCAUUACAGAGUUCAUGCCCUCACGGGUAGAUCUCCCACCCUUGAAUAUUUAUACCUUAGUUGCUUUGGCAGGCCGUGGAAACACCAUGGGCUCCGGCUUAUGCGUGCCUGCCAGAGGAAACAAACUCUGUUUUUAGUGAUGUCUGAGUACUAUAGAAUAGUUAAAACUUUCAACAACGGAUCUCUUGGUUCCG
rnacentral:misc_RNA from 1 species